GGAAGGAUCAUUAACACAAUAGUCUAACGACUUAGAAUCCGGUUUGAUCAAGGUUCCUCAUGAUUGUCAUGUCCAUAGGUUGUCGUAUGGCGGUGGCUAGGUGUAAUAAAUGCCUUAUCACAAUGAGAAUUUGCUAGUUCAAGUUCUCAAUAUAGCGUGGUAGGAACCGAAUCACUGGCAAUCCAGCGGAGUAAGGAGGUAACAAAAGUCAGACCUCGAGUCUGCGCCUCCCCUCUGGUGUAGUACAACCCUAGGCAACACCGCUGUCAUCAUGAGGCCUCCAAGGUCGUCAAAUUUCAACUGAAUUUUACAGUUAUCAAUCAUUGUAUAAACAAAACAAACCAAGAAAAUUUUCAACGACGGAUAUCUUGGUUCCCAUACCGAUGAAGAACGCAGCGAAAUGCGAUACGCAAUGCGAAUUGCAGAAUUCCGCGAGUCAUCAGAUCUUUGAACGCAACUGGCGCCAGUUUACUGGCAUGUCUGUUUCAGUGUGAUUGGAGAGUUAUCAUAUCAUUCUUUAAACAGAAUGCGAUUGAGGGGUUCAUUCCACCUUGUGUGGGAUAGAAUUUCUCUCUCGUUAAAUGAGAAGGUGUAAGGACGAGUAGUCUCUUGCACUGUCAACGAAGUAGUCACGCUAGUCCGUGAUCUCGUCUACAGUGUUAAGGAGCUAUUCAUUACCUAAUGCACUUGAUUUUAUCAAUCUCCUAAUUUGACACCUGAAAUCAAGCAAGGUUACCCGCUGAACUUAAGCAUAUCAGUAAGCGGAGGAAAAGAAACUAACAAGGAUUCCCUCAGUAGCGGCGAGUGAACAGGGAACAGCUCAAAAUGAAAAUCUGUAGCACACAGUUGCAGAAUUGUAAUCUAAAGGUCUUUUAGGGAAGGCAUGGCUGUCGCAUAAGUUCCUUGAAAAAGGGCGUCAUAGAGGGUAAAAACCCCGUGUUAGGCGACGGCUGGCUGUACCGAAGGAUUCCAAGAGUCGGGUUGUUUGGGACUGCAGCCAUAAAUGGGAGAUAAACUUCUUCUAAAGCUAAAUAUGUAUGGGAAACCGAUAGCAAACAAGUACUACGAAGGAAAGAUGAAAAGAACUUUGAAAAGAGGGUUAAAAGACUUGAAAUCGUUGAGAAGAAAAGCGGUAGAAGAGAAAUGAUUUCCUUGAGAAGUAUGUGGCGAAAGCGUUACCUUCCUAGAGUUCUGGUACUUAAUAGGGCCGUCUUUGGAACUGGAAUGCGCUUGGUUACUUUUUCUCAGGUGAAGUGCACGAUGAGGUCAGGAUUCAGGAGAAGUGCGCGAAACGACCGCGGCCUAGUUGCUGUGAGCUCGCGUAACCCACUGAAUGCUGGCCUGAGGGAUCCAGAUGGAGAUCGUGCAAAAAAGGCUUCUACUGACCCGUCUUGAAACACGGACCAAGGAGUCUACCCCAUAUGCGAGUCUUAGGGUGUAAAAACCUGAAGGCGUAGCGAAAGCAAGUAUAAGGUGUGAACCCGUAAGGGCGCAACACCGGCCAACCUUGAUUUUCGAAAGAAAGGAUUGAGCAAGAGCAUAUUUGGUAGGACCCGAAAGAUGGUGAACUACGCUUGAGUAGGGUGAAGCCAGGGGAAACUCUGGUGGAGGCUCGAAGCGUUACUGACGUGCAAAUCGUUCGUCAAACUUGAGUGUAGGGGCGAAAGACUAAUCGAACCAUCUAGUAGCUGGUUCCCUC
rnacentral:misc_RNA from 1 species